rnacentral:rRNA from 1 species
AGGAUAAACGCUGGCGGCGUGCCUUAUGCAUGCAAGUCGAACGGUCUUUCCGCUUUCGGGCGGAAAGGUAGUGGCGAACGGGUGAGUAACACGUAUGUAACCUGUCCGGAAGUGGGGAAUAACCCUCCGAAAGGAGAGCUAAUUCCGCAUGUGGUCGCCGGUGAGAGACCGGUGGACAAAAGCUUUUGCGCUUCCGGAGGGGCGUGCGGCCGAUUAGCUUGUUGGUGGGGUAACGGCUCACCAAGGCGACGAUCGGUAGCUGGUCUGAGAGGACGGCCAGUCACACGGGGACUGAGACACGGCCCCGACUCCUACGGGAGGCAGCAGCAAGGAAUUUGCGCAAUGGG